AAUAGAAUUGCUGGGUCAUAUGGUAAAUGGAUGUUUAAACUCUUAAGAAACUGUCAAACUUUUUUCCAAAGUGUCUGUACCAUCUUGCAUUUCCACCAGCAAC
rnacentral:pre_miRNA from 1 species